CCAUCCUAAAUAAACAAAUCAACAAACAAAAAGAUUCCAUGAUCCAAUGAUUUGGGAAAUGUUGGAUAAAAAUGUUUCUUACUGCCUCAAUUACAGAAAAUCUCAACAUUAUAAAAUGUGGUGUAAGUUUCCAAAAAAGAAGAUAUGGUGCGUAUUUGACCAUGGACAGCCCUGUAGGCUUUUAAAGAGAGCACCCCUCUCGAAUGAUCCAUGCUGUGAGUCCCCUACACUCCUGGGCCUUUCUUAUCCAUCUCCCAAACUUCAGCUAGUCCCAUGUAUUAGCUCGGGAAAAAUUAGCUGAGACUUCUAAGGAUCUCUGUUGCAAUGCUGAAAACUAACCCUUAAGUUUGUCUAGAAAGAUGCCACACUUUAGGGAUCUUUCAGUGCUAAUAUUAUAAAUGUCUUAAUAGUAUAUAGUAAAGAAGAAGUUCUUUAUUAAGAUAAAAACUGAUUUUUGUCUACCUCUUUUCUGUAUUUUAUGCAUCACAAAUGACUCUAUGAUUUUUUAAAAAUGCUAUGUCACAUUUCCAUAAGCAAUUUGUCACCGGAUUUAGGGGAGGUGAGACAUUCUAAUACAUCUAGCAGAUUCCAGUGGAAAGUACAGAUUUGCUCAAUGCUUUGGUGCUGUGAUGAAUCUCCAUUUUCCAGACGAGAAAACUGAGAGAUCAGAAAGGUCAAGUGCCUUUCCCCAGGUCACACAGCAGGGUGGUGGUGGAGACUACUGUGCAAACUCAGUCUGGCUCUGCAGCCUCCACGUUCCAUCACUAGGCUAGUCACACUCUCCUAUAACCUGCUUUUAUCAUGUAACUGAUCACAUUUAUAUUUCCAUGUCAAUAAAUAUAGACUGCAUUCUCAUUUUUAAUGGCUGCCUUGC
rnacentral:lncRNA from 1 species